rnacentral:rRNA from 1 species
AUGGGGAGUUUCUUUUGGCAGGUAAAUGAUGAUUAUAUCAAAAGUCUAAACAUGUUGAGCAAAAAGUUGAGAUUUGCUCAAGUUGAUACAUUGAUUAAUGCAUCAAAAGCUCUGAAAGAUGUUAAGCAAGAACUGGAAAGGCUUCGGAAAAAGGCACUAUCAAAGGUGUCCGCCUAUGUCAUUGGGAUAUUCUCUUCCAUGAGAAAGCCUGGAACUAAUGUCCAGAUACUUCAACAAAAUUUGCUUCAGAAGUAUAGGUAUCUUGUUCUCUUUCUUAAAGAGCAUGGAAUCGAGAAAUAUAAUGAUGUCUGUGCAGCAUAUGUUGAUAAAAUGAACAAGGUGCUGAGUGAAGAUUUUUGUGUGUACUUAGAAGCAUUGGAGAGUUUGAAGCUAGAUAUUGGUGCAUCCACUGAUGUGAUUGGAUAUGACGGCAACGUCGUAGACCUUAUACCAAGGGGGAGAGAGCAACAGAGAAAUCAUCGUUUCAUGUUUUCUUUAGGUGAACGAUCAAACAUCUUGAAGGAGAUUGAUCAGCCUGGCUUGGUACCUUGUAUAUCUGAAGCUAAUUCCUUGAAAUACCCAUAUGAAGUUAUUUUUAGGAGCCUACAAAAGCUUCUGAUGGACACUGCUAGCUCUGAGUAUAUUUUUAUCAAAGCAUUCUUUCGCGAAGAGUCGAUGUUUUAUCAAGUUUUUGAAGGACCUUUUGCAGUAAUUGAUGAAAACAUGAAGCUUACUCUUGCAAAUAGUCAUGAUGCAAUAUGCUUGAUGCUCAUGAUCUGCAUAACUAAAAAGCACCAGGUAGGAAGGUAUUUGCUAUUUUCCCUUUGCUGGGGAGAAAAACUGAACUUAUGUCCCUGUUUUUUCUUCCCGCACAAUACGGACAAGGAAUGA